rnacentral:tRNA from 1 species
GGGCAGGUGCCUGAGUGGUUAAAAGGGCCUGGCUGUAAACCAGGUGCGAGAGCUACGGCGGUUCGAAUCCGUCCCUGCCCACCG